CAUCGGUUCCCCCGCGACGAAUCCUCGUAAACCCCGCCAGGCCCGGAAGGGAGCAACGGUAGCGAACGGUUCGGGCGCCGGGGUGUCGCUGGUGCGG
rnacentral:SRP_RNA from 2 species